rnacentral:lncRNA from 1 species
GAAACCAACUGAGAGGUGAACACUUCACUGGGGAAGGAAAAAAUGGUACGAACACCGAAAGAUGAUGUUUACCGACAUAAAAAAGAAGCGACCAGACAUUUACCGAUGAUUGGAGUGAGACUCGAUGUUUACCGACACCGAAACAAUGGUGUUUACCGACACCAAGGAAAGACCACACGGGUGCAAACAUGACACUUACAGGUAUCACAGGAAUGACAUCUGCGUAUGUCAAGGCAAGUCUAA